UACGGAAGGUGCAAGCGUUAUCCGGAUUUACUGGGUUUAAAGGGUGUGUAGGCGGGUCUUAAGUCUGUGGUGAAAUCUCCGAGCUCAACUCGGAAACUGCCUUGGAUACUAUUGGCCUUGAAUUAUGUUGAGGUUGGCGGAAUAUAACAUGUAGCGGUGAAAUGCAUAGAUAUGUUAUAGAACACCGAUUGCGAAGGCAGCUAACUAAGCAUAUAUUGACGCUGAGGCACGAAAGCGUGGGGAUCAAACAGG
rnacentral:rRNA from 1 species